AUUGAACGCUGGCGGCAUGCUUUACACAUGCAAGUCGAACGGUAACAGGCCUUCGGGUGCUGACGAGUGGCGAACGGGUGAGUAAUGCAUCGGAACGUGCCCAAUCGUGGGGGAUAACGUAGCGAAAGUUACGCUAAUACCGCAUAAGCCCUGAGGGGGAAAGCAGGGGAUCGCAAGACCUUGCGCGAAUGGAGCGGCCGAUGUCAGAUUAGCUAGUUGGUGGGGUAAAGGCCUACCAAGGCGACGAUCUGUAGCGGGUCUGAGAGGAUGAUCCGCCACACUGGGACUGAGACACGGCCCAGACUCCUACGGGAGGCAGCAGUGGGGAAUUUUGGACAAUGGGCGCAAGCCUGAUCCAGCCAUGCCGCGUGCGGGACGAAGGCCUCGGUUGUAACGUAGCUUUGUUACGGUAACGAAACGGUUACGUUUCUAAUUACAGAGAGACUAAUAGACGGUACCGUAAC
rnacentral:rRNA from 1 species